ACACAACUCAAGGCCAUGCAUGAAAUCCCUGUUCCAUUCUACUGAGGACACAGGAUGAGAAGCAGCUAGUGACUUCAGUUUGGACAGUCCAGAUCUUUUUUGAUGAGGACAGUUAAAUAUCAGCAUUAUCCAUCCCAGGGCUUCCCAGCUAGAGCCCCUCAUGAAGGAAAUGAAUGAAUAAAGAAGGAAUAACUGCAAUCUUUGCAUCUCACAGAAAUGCCUGACUGUCACAGAGGCUGCAUCUAAAUCCUGAACCAUUUCCUUGAGUGCUACAGCGUCAAGAGAAGAAAAGCCCACUCAUUGUUUUCCAUGAGAGUAAACUGGACAAAGAAAAUAACAGAGUUGACCA